ACUGAAUAGAUACCCUGGUAGUCCACGCCGUAAACGAUGGAUACUAGCUGUUCGGAGCAAAUCUGAGUGGCUAAAGCGAAAGUGAUAAGUAUCCCACCUGGGGAGUACGCACGCAAGUGUGAAACUCAAAGGAAUUGACGGGGGCCCGCACAAGCGGUGGAGCAUGUGGUUUAAUUCGAUGAUACGCGAGGAACCUUACCAGGGCUUAAAUGUAGAUUGACAGGACUGGAAACAGUUUUUCUUCGGACAAUUUACAAGGUGCUGCAUGGUUGUCGUCAGCUCGUGCCGUGAGGUGUCAGGUUAAGUCCUAUAACGAGCGCAACCCCUGUCGUUAGUUGCCAGCGAGUCAUGUCGGGAACUCUAACGAGACUGCCAGUGUAAACUGUGAGGAAGGUGGGGAUGACGUCAAAUCAUCACGGCCCUUACGUCCUGGGCCACACACGUGCUACAAUGGUAGGUACAGAGAGCAGCCACUGCGCGAGCAGGAGCGAAUCUACAAAACCCUAUCUCAGUUCGGAUCGGA
rnacentral:rRNA from 1 species